rnacentral:rRNA from 1 species
GACGAACGCUGGCGGCGUGCUUAACACAUGCAAGUCGAACGGAAAGGCCCUGCUUUUGUGGGGUGCUCGAGUGGCGAACGGGUGAGUAACACGUGAGUAACCUGCCCUUGACUUUGGGAUAACUUCAGGAAACUGGGGCUAAUACCGGAUAGGAGCUCCUGCUGCAUGGUGGGGGUUGGAAAGUUUCGGCGGUUGGGGAUGGACUCGCGGCUUAUCAGCUUGUUGGUGGGGUAGUGGCUUACCAAGGCUUUGACGGGUAGCCGGCCUGAGAGGGUGACCGGCCACAUUGGGACUGAGAUGCGGCCCAGACUCCUACGGGAGGCAGCAGUGGGGAAUAUUGCACAAUGGGCGGAAGCCUGAUGCAGCACCGCCGCGUGCGGGAUGACGGCCUUCGGGUUGUAAACCGCUUUCGCCUGUGACGAAGCGUGAGUGACGGUAAUGGGUAAAGAAGCACCGGCUAACUACGUG